CAUCUCCAGCCCGUGCACCUUCUCAUCCUCCCCUUCAGAUAACACUUAUCUUCUCUGUGUUCAUUCUCCUGUGCAGACCUGCGUCCUUAGAAUACAGAGCAGGGGGAGGGGAGGUGAGGAGCUGUGUACUCAGCUGGAUGAGAUGAGGGGGCGUGGCUUAUUCCUCUCAUGCAGACAGAGAGAAAAAUAAAGCUGUGACAUCUUGUCCACAACAGACUCAGAACUGUGGACAACAGUAAAAGAAAACCCUCUGAACUACAGAACUUCCUGCCCAACAAACAGGCUAUUUCUGAAUUUGAAAUAUGCUUCUCCUUCUGUUGGUGGUUCCGUGUAUCCCGUGGACUACUUCGGAUUUGGUGUACUACUAUGAUGACCGGCGUUUUUUUUAUAUUGUUAAUUAAAUGGUUAAUGAGGGC